ensembl:lncRNA
AGGAACUGUGUACUGGUGGACGACAUCCCAAAAAGUGACAAAGAGACCAUAGAAAUUGCCUGUCAGAUAAGUGUAAGUCAAUCCAUGAUCUCAUUAGAGGAAAUACUGUCUCCUGAAUUUGAGAACAUGAAAACAGUGUCGCAGUGUCACAGUCACUUUGUUUUUUUAUGUUUGAUUUCUCACUCGACCGAAUAGUAGCCCGUUGCAUUGGUCUCACACAUAAGUUGUUUUUUUUUUCCUCCGGACUGUAGCAAAUGAACUCCAAAUGAAUGAUGUCAUUUCCUUCCAUGACCCCACCCCUCCUUGGACAACUCUCUUUCCAGAUGCUGAAUGAGUCUGUGUCUCGGCUGUCAACUCUCCACCCAACCCUGGCCAGAAGAGUUACAUGCAAACAGGCCGAGGUGAAGGAGAACUGGGCACUUCUCCAGGAGUUUCUCCGGAACCAGAAGACAGAUGUUUCUUCAAAACGCCCGUCAGCGUUACCCGCUGAUCCUCUAACCACAUGCCCUGACUCACAGAGCUUUGCUAGAAUUGAGGGUCACAGCGUAACGGGAAAAGACGUCAAAGAAGAGCAAAACCGUCUCCGAGGAUUUGAGGUUAGCUGCAGUGCCUCCAAAAACAUCUGCAAGCAUGUGAUUAUAAAUGACCAGUCAUGACCACAUAGAAAAAUCGACUGGUCUAAAAUUUCUGUUUGGUGAAACAGUCUUCUACACAGAGGCUUUAAACGCAUCACAAAUGCCAGAUGACCUUCUCUAGACAGUGAUAUUACUUGACAAUGAUAGUCCACAAAGUCUCUUUCCUAUUAGAACUCAUUUUGUGAUUUCUAUUUAGGCAUGUUUCCACCUCAGAGUGAAAAAAAAAUAGAUAUCAAUAUAGAUAUAGAUACAAAUACAAAUUAAAAGAUGCUGUCCCAUGUGUCUGCAAUAUUCUGGUGUUAAUUAUCUAUGAUUAAACUUAAGCUAUGCCUGAACAUGUAUUUCUGCAGUGCUCUCAAGGCCUGUGGACCCAUAGGAUGUGGAGUCCGGUUGAGGAAUGUUCUAUAGGGAGUCAAGUCUCACUGUUGGAAAGCAGCUGUUCCAAGCUGGACAACAUCUCAGAAAAGCAGGACAGGAAGAGCUGUAUCGACCAGAUGGCUCAAACAACCCCUGUUUCCUCUCAAGAAUGUCUCAUACCCAAUAAGCUGUUGAAAGAAUCGACGACAUCCACUGGAAUGAAUGAAGAGCAUGACUGCUCAAAGCAAAGACAAGACCACAAAAUAGAGGAGCUCCUAAGCCAGGUGGAGGUCCUUUGGGAUGCUCUGCAAAAGAAAUAUGGAGAGAACAAUAAGACUGAACCGGCGGAAAAAGAACAAUCUGGAGAUGAAGCUGCACAGAUGGUUUCAGAUCUUACAGUUUCAAACAAUCUCCCGGAAAAAGUAGAGGAAGGCAGUUCAGGAAUGCUUGAAAAGUUCCUUGAACUUCUUGAUCCCAGUGGUUAUCACAAAAUAAAUCAGGAUGUUCCUGGAUCUCUGCAUAGGCAAGAAAUGGCUGAGGCUGCAGAAAUGUCACUAAAUCUACUGAGUCAACAAACUGAACAAGAAAGAUCUCAGAAGCAGGACCAGAUCACUAAUGAGUUACAAAGCUUGCUAUCUACUCUAACACUGCGGAUAAACCAGCACCUCUGUCGCUGUGCUGAGCUCAGUAUGGACCUCCUGGACAUAGAAACAGAUAUGACUGUGCUUUGUGACUCGGACCUCAGUGGUCUGGAGGGGCUACAGGAGCAGCAGGAUGACCUAGAGGCUCAUUAUAAUAUCAUUGAAGGAGAGGUGAGAGAAAUGGAGAGACUAGACAGUCAGCUAAAGGUUCCUUCCCCAGAACAGAGAGACCUUCUCAGGGAAGAGGUUCAGGCAAUCCUGCAGGCUUGGGAGGAAGUAGGCCGCAACAUGGCUGAAAACAGAAGCCGUCUGGAGAAGUUCCACCAGAUUCAGGACUACUUCGAAAACUAUCUUGCCAUGAUUACGUGGACAGAGAACACCAGAUCCUGUAUCCUUGCCGGUGGCUCUGCUUGGAGAGAGAGUGAAGUUGCAGAGAUUGAUCACAGCAUUGAAACCAAGCUGGAUGAGUUUAGCAAACUGGCUGCAGCUGGUCAAAUGCUUAUGCAAGAUGAGAGUCAGUUUAAAGACAUUAUCAAGGAGAGAACAGAUGAGUUGCAAAGCAUGCUGGGAUGGAUCCAGGUGAACUGGCACGUUCAAAGAGAGCAGCUUAAAAGAAACCAGAAUGGGAGACCAGAGUCAACAAACGAUCCUGUUCAACAGCAGGCUAUACCUUUCAAAAAACCUUCUGAUGGUCUUUGCAUUAUAAAUGGAGAGGUCAAAGGAAAUACUCCUGAAACACAGUCCUCUCAAAACAACUUUGAGCAACAGAAUGGGAGGCAUGAUGUGUCCAGUGUUGUUAGUCAGGAGUCAUGCCUUUCAAAGACAUCCCUAGGCUCUAGCAUCUGUCUCAUUUUGAGCUUUGAUGACCAGUCUUCAGGCAUUAACCAAGUGACAAAGCAAUGGUCCCCCAACAAUAAUGAAAUACUUGAAGAGUCAGCAAGCAGCAUUCAGGCAGACAGCUGUCAAUCACAGGACACAACCUCAAUGCAAAUACAACAGCCACAAGAAAUUCUCCAGGAAAGAUGGCCGAAUGAAUCAGUCAAGAGUAAAGACACCAAACCCAAGUCAUCUUGUGUGAAUCUUGCACAGCUGCAAAUCAAAAACCAAGGAGAACCAGACCAGUCACCAAGCAAAGAAGAAAUAUCCAACCAGUUGUCCACAUAUAACACUGAAUCAUCAUUUUGCAAUCACCUACCAGAUAAUCUGCAGUCCAACAACAACCAAACAUAUCUGCAACCAUCACCAGAUGUCGAUCAGAUGCAAAAUCCUGAGAAUCAAGCACAAAAAACUCAGUCACAAAGCUACAGCCCGAACCGGAUGCAAAAAUCUGCACACAACAAUCUAGAAUCAAACCAAAACCAAAGUGACGACCACCUGCGGUCUGAAGUCACUCAUAGGGUGUUCACGUAUUUGCACGUCUCGGAUACUUACAGAUCAACAGGGCAAGUCUUGGAGGUCACAUCCCCAACACAUGCAGCAGAAAAUGUCACACAUGAAAGGAGAACGGUUUAUAAUCACAACAGAUUCGAGCCAAGCUCUUUGUUCAAGCUGAAAGAGCCAAUCACAAACGAGGAAGAAAACCAGCGAAGGAACUCUCUGCUUGGCUCUGUAGGAUCGGAAAGGUCUGGCAAACCUUCAAGCAUUUUCAGGCGAAGGUGUAACACUUGGCCAGAAGGAGAAGGGAGAGUGAAAGAAAGUCAAUCAAACUCCAAACUUCAGGUUUUUAUUAAAAAAAACAUGUUGCCGGUGAAUUCUGUCAUCGAUAACAAGUCCAACUCUUUUCCAGAAGACAACUUGCCUAAUGCUGUCAAGACUUCAAGUGGACCGGUUAAAAACAUCUGCUCUUAUUUGUCUCUAGGAUCCACUCUUAGCUUCAGUCUUCCCAAGUGCUUUCACAACAGUGUCUUAGACAUGCAAAAUAAAGAGGAGAUUCAACCUGUCCAGAUUUAUGAUGACUCAGACAACCAAAAAAUACCCUCAGCUCGAACGCCACAGUCAGAAAUGGAGGUAGAACCAGUGAUACAUACUAAACAAACUGAAAUAAACCUUCAUACAGUAAAUAUGGAAGAUUGGGACAAUACAGAAGAACCAACCACUGAGGUUGAGACCCAACAGUUAAACCAAAUUUAUGAAAACACAGAACCUGUCUUGAGGGUUUUCACGUCGGUUGAAUAUGAAGAACCUGAUCAUGUUUCCGCCAGCCGUCACAAAGCCUCUUCUCCAGUGGUCAAUGGCUCUGCCUUGGUCACUCACUGCAGGCCUCUGUGUCCUUCUUCAUCAGGUGGUCACAGUUGCUUAAGUGUUUACACUAAAAUAAAAGACCUGAACGGCCACUUAUAUUACACAUCCAAAUACAUGAAGAUAAACCCUUCUAAAAAAUUGUUCCCUAAUGGCCCAGGCUCUCGUAAGAGCGGCCGCGUCAUAAACUGUGGUGUGAGAGACUGUGCAGUGUGUUUCAGUGAUACAGUGAAAGAGACAAGUGUAGACUGGGCAGAGAAACCUGACAUAAGCACGGAGGAACUUCUUAAGCCAGGCCACUGGUUAUUCCAGCAGGAGGAAGAGGAACUGGAAGAUAUCUGGAGAGGAAGAGUGGGUAAUCUAACUUCAAACUGUACUGUGGAAACAAAUACGGAUGAAGAAACAGGGCUAUCAAUCAAAACCAACAGGGGACAGGUAGCCCACCCACUGCAUGGAUGA